CACUCAACCACUGAGCCACUCAGGUGCCCCAGAGAAGACAAUAUUUAAAGAACAUUUUGGGCAGAGAUACAUACAGGAAACAUGUGAUGUGGGUGAGUCUGAGAGUAGAUCUAUGGCUGUCUGACCAAUAGACCAUGGCACCGGGGAUGCUAUGUGACUUCCAAAGCCAGGUCAUAAAAGCUUCCACUUGGCUCUCUCUCAGUGUGCUUGACUUUGGAACCCAGCCACCAUGUUGUGAAGAAGCCCAGAUCACAUGGAAAGGCCACACGUAAGAGUUCCAGUGAAGAGUCCCAACUAAAGUCUCAGCUCACAGGCAUGACAAACCUCCAGACAUGUGCAUGAACAAGGCUUCAGAUGAUUCUCACCCCCAGGGUUGAGUAUUCUGAACACUUAUGGAGCAGAGAUGCGCUGUAUCCAUUGUGCCCCAACCAACUUCCUGACAAACAGAAACCAAAUGAGAUAAUAAAUUAUUCUUGUUUUAAAA